AUUGAACGCUGGCAGCAGGCCUAACACAUGCAAGUCGAACGAGAGGCGGACGGGUGGGUAAUGUCUGGGCAACUGCCUGAUGGAGGGGGAUAACUAGGGGAAACGGUAGCUAAUACAGCAUAACAUCCGAUGUGCCCAGAUGGGAUUAGCUUGUUGGUGGGGUAACGGCUCACAAAGGCGACGUUCCCUAGCUGGUCUGCGAGGAUGACCAGCCACACUGGAACUGAGACACGGGCCAGACUCCUACGGGAGGCAGCAGUGGGGAAUAUUGCACAAUGGGCGCAAGUCUGAUGCAGCCAGGCCGCGUGAAUGAAGAAGGCUUUCGGGUUGUAAAGUUCUUUCAGCGGGGAGGCGUUACCCAAAGAGGAAGCACCGGCUAACUCCGUGCCAGCAGCCGCGGUAAUAC
rnacentral:rRNA from 1 species